rnacentral:tRNA from 1 species
CAGGAGGUAAUUUAAUUUAAAAUGCGUGCUUUGGGGGCGCGUAAUGGGGCUGGUGUCCCCCUCCUGA